CGAGAGCUGGCUGGGAUUCCAGGACAUUCUGCCAAUCCAGGAAUACACUUGAAACAAAGCAAGGAAAUAUGACCUGUGCUGGUUAAGCUUGAAACUUCAGCCUAAAAGGAAACCCCCUGCUCCUUCCUCCAGAUUAUUUCUACCUUGAAAUCUUCUAAAUAAGUGUUUUCAAGAGUCUGGAACAGAACAGACCUGUGCCUGCUCACUGGUCACAUCUGAUUUAUGACCAGGAGAGAGCUUCCUCAUGCACCAAAGUCCGCGCUGGUCCUGAGGCCUGGCCUCUGAACUUUAGACCCGGGUAACUCCUGGAGGGGGGGUGCGAAAAAAG